rnacentral:rRNA from 1 species
UACGGGGGGGGCAAGCGUUGUUCGGAAUUACUGGGCGUAAAGGGCUCGUAGGUGGCCAACUAAGUCGGACGUGAAAUCCCUCGGCUUAACCGGGGAACUGCGUCCGAUACUGGAUGGCUUGAGUUUGGGAGAGGGAUGCGGAAUUCCAGGUGUAGCGGUGAAAUGCGUAGAUAUCUGGAGGAACACCGGUGGCGAAGGCGGCAUCCUGGACCAACACUGACGCUGAGGAGCGAAAGCCAGGGGAGCAAACGGG